GAUGAAGAACGCAGCGAAAUGCGAUAAGUAAUGUGAAUUGCAGAAUUCAGUGAAUCAUCGAAUCUUUGAACGCAUCUUGCGCUCCUUGGUAUUCCUUGGAGCAUGCCUGUUUGAGUAUCAUGAGCAAAUCUCAAAGUCAAUUCCUUUUGUUGAUUCAAUUGGUUUUGCUUUGGACUUGGAGGCCUUGCAGAUUUCACAGUCUGCUCCUCUUAAAUGCAUUAGCUGGAUCUCAGUAAUUAUGCUUGGUUCCACUCGGCGUGAUAAGUAUCACUCGCUGAGGACACUGUUAAAAAGGUGGCCAGGAAAAUACUGAUUGAACCGCUUCUAACGGUCUAUUAAGUUAGACAAUUACCCUUAAGUUUGAUCUCAAAUCAGGUAGGACUACCCGCUGAACUUAAGCAUAUCACUAAGCGGAGGA
rnacentral:misc_RNA from 1 species